GACGAACGCUGGCGGCGUGCUUAACACAUGCAAGUCGAACGGAAAGGCCCUGCUUUUGUGGGUUGCUCGAGUGGCGCACGGGUGACUAACCCGUGAGUCACCUGCCCUUGCCUUUGGGAUAACUUCCGGAAACUGGGGCUAAUACCGGUUAUGAGCUCCCGCUGCAUUGUGGGGUUUGGACAGUUUCGGCGGUUGGGGAUGGACUCGCGGCUUAUCAGCUUGUUGGUGGGGUAGUGGCUUACCAAGGCUUUGACGGGUAGCCGGCCUGAGAGGGUGACCGGCCACAUUGGGACUGAGAUCCGGCCCCGACUCCUACGGGAGGCAGCAGUGGGGAGUAUUGCACAAUGGGCGGAAGCCUGAUGCAGCAACGCCGCGUGCGGGAUGACGGCCUUCGGGUUGUAAACCGCUUUCGCCUGUGACGAAGCGUGAGUGACGGUAAUGGGUAAAGAAGCACCGGCUAACUACGUG
rnacentral:rRNA from 1 species